rnacentral:lncRNA from 7 species
GCAGCAGCAUCUUCAAAGUCUCAUGGCUUUCAAACACAGCCGUGCACACAUGAGCCCCUCCCUCGCGGCCGUCCCUGUCUCGCAUUACGCUGGCAUUUUCUUUGGGGAUGAACAGGGGAGAGACUCCGGCGUAGUUUAUUUUCCUUCCGAGCAGGGAGGAGAGAACGCGCAAAAUGCUCCUAAUGGAGCAAAGCGAGCAAGAGGAGCCCAAAGGCGCGGGUGUGCGGCCUCAUGGGGACACUGCUGGGGGUUGGGAUUCUCCUUGCUAUGAGGGGCCCAAAGCCUUUGAGUUGUGUAUUUCCGUAGCCACCGUCUAUAAUAAAGCCUGGAGCCGGCCCAAGCCGCGUCUCUAUUCCUUGGGUGUGCACAAAAAGGGGAAUAUCGAGAUGAUCUCGUUUCUGUCUCUCUCCAGUCUCAUAUCGAACAAAGGGCGGAUGGGAACAAGAAAGGAAGGGAAAAAAGCAUCACCUGUUCCCAUACAGUCUUAGCGAGAUCGCGGUCAUUAUCUCGGCAGCCUCACAUUUCUAAAGGGGCUUCGUUUGUCUUUUCAAACACUGGCAUCUUGUUAAAAAGCAGAGGGGAAAUGGCCGAUUUGCUCCGUUCCCCCCCAAAAUGAGCGGCGGUGCCACGGCCGCCCCCGCAGCCCCAACUUUAACACCUGGGAAAAGAAAGUGGGAAGGAAACCAAAGGCACCCAAAGAGAAAUAAAGGCGCCGCGGCCGAAGGGCCCCAACCCCGCUUCUCCCGAUGGCGUUCCUCCAUCUGACAAAAGCCUUUGGUUUUCUGUCAUUCUUUUCAUUUCCUUGAUGGCUCCCCAAUUGUCCAAGCCUUCAAGAAAACGCACUUUGGCUCUU